rnacentral:rRNA from 1 species
AGUGAACGCUGGCGGUAGGCCUAACACAUGCAAGUCGAACGGCAGCACAGUAAGAGCUUGCUCUUACGGGUGGCGAGUGGCGGACGGGUGAGGAAUACAUCGGAAUCUACUUUUUCGUGGGGGAUAACGUAGGGAAACUUACACUAAUACCGCAUACGACCUACGGGUGAAAGCAGGGGAUCUUCGGACCUUGCGCGAUUGAAUGAGCCGAUGUCGGAUUAGCUAGUUGGCGGGGUAAAGGCCCACCAAGGCGACGAUCCGUAGCUGGUCUGAGAGGAUGAUCGGCCACACUGGAACUGAGACACGGUCCAGACUCCUACGGGAGGCAGCAGUGGGGAAUAUUGGACAAUGGGCGCAAGCCUGAUCCAGCCAUACCGCGUGGGUGAAGAAGGCCUUCGGGUUGUAAAGCCCUUUUGUUGGGAAAGAAAAGCAGCAGGUUAAUACCCCGCUGUUCUGACGGUACCCAAAGAAUAAGCACCGGCUAACUUCGUG